rnacentral:rRNA from 1 species
AUACGUAGGUGGCAAGCGUUGUCCGGAUUUACUGGGUGUAAAGGGCGUGUAGGCGGAGAUGCAAGUCAGGAGUGAAAUCUAGGGGCUCAACCCCUAAACUGCUUUUGAAACUGUAUCCCUUGAGUAUCGGAGAGGCAGGCGGAAUUCCUAGUGUAGCGGUGAAAUGCGUAGAUAUUAGGAGGAACACCAGUGGCGAAGGCGGCCUGCUGGACGACAACUGACGCUGAGGCGCGAAAGCGUGGGGAGCAAACAGGAUUAGAUACCUGGUAGUCCACGCUGUAAACGAUGAAUACUAGGUGUGGGGGGACUGACCCCCUCCGUGCCGCAGUUAACACAAUAAGUAUUCCACCUGGGGAGUACGAUCGCAAGAUUGAAACUCAAAUGAAUUGACGGG